GGUUGUGAGGGCGAUCUGGCUGGGACAUCUGUCACCCUACUGAUCAGAGGGUUGAUUUGGCUGAUCGGGCUGGCUAGGUGGAUGUCCCCUUCCUCCAUCAAUGACCCAUGUGCAUCCCUCCCAAAGCUGCAUGCUGGGUCAAAGAGGAUGACCGCCCCUGAUAGAGGAGGACCGGUCCUCGGUCAGGGGUGUAUGAGCAGCUGCGCUUCCCUGCUAGAACCUGCAAACAAACUCUCAAGAAAGAAUAUGUGAUUAUUUUCUUAAAAUCCAUUUUGACUUUUUUCCUUUGGUCUAA
rnacentral:sRNA from 1 species